UGGGAACCUUCCCUAUGGUUCGGAAUAGCUCAGGGAAACUUGAGGUAAUACCGGAUAAGCCCUUACGGGGAAAGAUUUAUCGCCAUUGGAUGGGCCCGCGUCGGAUUAGCUAGUUGGUGAGGUAACGGCUCACCAAGGCGACGAUCCGUAGCUGGUCUGAGAGGGUGAUCGGCCACAUUGGAACUGAGACACGGUCCAGACUCCUACGGGAGGCAG
rnacentral:rRNA from 1 species